AGGAAAAUUGGUGGAUUUAAAGGAAUCAAGCAAUCAAAGUGAGCCCUCUAACAAAGGUAAAGAGAUUAUGCCUGAAGACCGAGAAUAGGAAUAUAUCGAACUCCUAGUAUUGCUCAGAAUAGAUUGUAGAUAACUGAUAUCGGCGAGGACUAUAGUUGGACUUGAUACAUCCAAAAACUAUCUAGAAAGCUUCAGAGUACAAGAGUUGGGGCCCAACAAACAUAAAUGGAGUAAAAGACCCAAUUAAUCUUUGAGCCCAGGAGGUAGAAUCAGAUCUACCCCACUAUGCCCUCCAAGUUAGAUCUGUCCAGGUCCUAUUUGACCUCGGCCCUUGACAGUAUAUUUUAGAUCUGGGAUUGAUCUAAUUUGAUCUGAAAUAUUAUUAUAUUAAUUAAUAAAAAAUAUUUUAUUUAAUUUUAAAAUAUAUUCAAAAAUAUUUAAAACCGUUUUACAAUAAAUUUAAUUUAAGUGAACAAAUCAAACCUGAACUCGAACUUAAAUUUUGGAAGUAUCAAUUGAACUUAACCCGAUUUGUGAGGUAUCUGCUUUAAGUUAAGAAGCAUUGCUUGUGACCACAUAUAGGAGGUCUGAAUGGCUUAAACAGAAAUCUACCGGAUAAUGCAUUUAUGCAUGACAACUCAAAACAAUUGAUAAUACCAGUCAUGUUCUUCUCAUUAUUAUUUCUUUACGAAAUUGAGUUUCCCCUUUUCAAAGGAAAUGAGACUGCCAAUCGACUAUUAGUAGGUCA